rnacentral:rRNA from 1 species
GGGCUCACACAAGCGGUGGAGCAUGUGGCUUAAUUCGAGGCAACGCGAAGAACCUUAUCCUGGGUUUGACAUGUACGGAUGGCUCGCCUGAAAGGGAUGAGUCUGCCUUCGGGUGAAACGUACACAGGUGCUGCAUGGCUGUCGUCAGCUCGUGUCGUGAGAUGUAGGGUUAAGUCCCGCAACGAGCGAAACCCUUAUCUCUAGUUGCCAGCGGGUAAUGCCGGGGACUCUAGAGAGACUGCCGGUGUCAAACCGGAGGAAGGUGGGGAUGACGUCAAGUCCUCAUGGCCUUUAUGUCUAGGGCUGCACACGUCCUACAAUGGUACGGACAAACGGACGCAAUACCGCGAGGUGGAGCAAAUCCUAGAAACCGUGCCUCAGUUCGGAUUGCAGGCUGCAACUCGCCUGCAUGAAGCCGGAAUCGCUAGUAA